rnacentral:rRNA from 1 species
UACGUAGGGUGCAAGCGUUAAUCGGAAUUACUAGGGCGUGAAACGUGCGCAGGCGGCUUUGCAAGACAGAUGUGAAAAUCCCCGGGCUCAACCUGGGAACUGCAUUUGUGACUGCAUGGCUGGAGUGCGGCAGAGGGGGGAUGGAAUUCCGCGUGUAGCAGUGAAAUGCGUAGAUAUGCGGAGGAACACCAGUGGCGAAGGCGGCUCACUGGAC